CCUGGGCCCCUGCAGCGGAGCACAUGAACUUAACCGCUUGGCCACGGAGCCGGCCCCCAAAUACAUUUUCUGAAGUGCAGUUUAACAAUGUGUUGAUAACCUUCUACACCCUCUCUACUCCAAAGUAAUUUGGAAUCUUUUUCUAAGUAUCAGCUUGAAUAAUAUAGGUUAAUUGCAAGGCAAAAUAUUUAUUUUCCUUUCUAUCUUUUAUUUUUCAUACACUAAAGUACUACUGAGAGUGUAGAACAUUCUCUGGCAUCUCAGAAACAGAAUCAGUUACCUAAUGUAUCACCUGAGUCCUCGUGGAGAGAUCAUCCCACAUGCCAUGGUGGAAUACCACACAGGAAAUGUGUAUUUGAAGACUGAAAUUGGAGGACGUGUAUCAUUGCAAAAAGUAUUUCAGUAACUGAUAUUUUUGCUGCACAUUAUUUAUUAUUAUUAUUAAUUUGACUCUAUGAUACUAUAUAUUUACAAGCUUUGACCCAGAAAAAUCAAAGUCUAGAAGCAAGUAUAAAUCCAUGCACUUUUUUGUUGUAAAAAUCCACAAGAUACAGCCCCAGUUGCUGUCAGUUUUAAAUUCACUUAAGAAUUCUCUCUUUGGAUUUCUGACCAAAAAUGCUUCCCCUGAGCAUUUCCGUUGUUCCAUUUUGUAAGAAGAGAACACAGUCACUCAUGGCUACAGCACUCUGUAAUAUGAUAUUGUUUCAUAUUUCCUUAGCUAAGGUUUACUUGAUUAAGCUUAUGAAGAAUCACACAGAGCAAUAUCAAAUGCAACAUAUCUCAACGUAGCUUUUCAUGCCCCCUAAGUUCUCAUCAUGUGCCAACAUCUAUCUAUUAGUGAGUUUCUACAUUGUAAUUUUACAUAUCCAGCUGCAAAUGAAAAUCUUAUUUUUGCUACACCACGGCCUUUUGAUACUCAAUGAUAAUUAAAUCACAAAAUAUUAUGUCACUUAUGAGAAAAUAUAGCUGUUUCCAAGCGAGAGAAUAGCUAGAAAUAGAGGAUAUCAGUAUUUUUUCAAGGUCCACUGGUGAUUCCAAUGUUCAAUCUGGAGAAGCACUUAGGUGAAACCUUAACUCAGGUGUUCCUGCUUAGUAAAGGUUCUGGAGACUGCUGUCAUCUGCUGAGCUUUCUAGAUGGUCUAUACUGCUCAUUCUACAAGUAGCACCUAGAUUUCAUCAUCCUGAGGCCUCCAAAGGUUGCUAAAUUCCCAACACUGUGUGCUAGCUAGCAAGGCCUGAAUUUCCUGAUCUAGCAUAGUCAGGAUUUCUGAGGACACCCGUUCACCUAUAAUUUGAGUAAGGCCUUCCCUGUGCUUUUUGCUGAAGCCUGUAUGGUUCCUGUGCAAUUAUUGAAGCCACCUAAUGCUCAUUUCAGUAAAAGUAGCAGAACCGAACCACCAUAAAUAUUGUGGGAACAGGAGAUUUAUGUUCAGAUGUCAUGAAAAUUCCUCUUUUUACUAAUUUUACUAAUUUAAUAAUUCUGAAACCAAACUGAGAAGAAGAUUUGGGCAAUGUAGUUCCCAGCCAUAACCAAGUUAACAACAAGAUCCCAAACACUUCAACCCUUUUCAACUUGCCACUCAUACACAUUUCAUUUUAUCAUAUUUAACUUUCAAAAAAGACAGCAGAAAAGUAUGCUUAUUUUUUCAACAGAUGUAUACAACUUAAAGAAAAAGAGUAUACUCAAAGUUUCCUAUGUCAUUUUAUUCAUAUGGGUGACUUAGGAUUCUUACAGCCAAGUCACAUACAACCUUUGAUAUCCUACAGCUUGCUAAAAUGUCGAGAUAGAAGGUGAACCCUUCUUACUAUAUCUUGUGUUAGGAAGUAGGCGAAUGGGAGAGGAGGGGAAUAUUGGUUAAUAUAUUUACAAAUAUAUUCACAUCAAAGCAAAAGAAAAAAAUACUCAUAAGUCCUGCAGCUUUAGUUUCAGCUCCUGGUCACACGAUCAUACAUGGCACAUAUAACUGCCUUUUUUCCACAACCUACUCCAUGUUCUCUUUAACUUCAGCAAACAUCUAGGUUGUUUUGAUUUCUUGUCUUAUGAAGUGGCCAAAAACUUUAUCUUCAAGUAUGAAUAUCAUUAGUAGUUCUUUCUAUUUGACACUGUUAUAGAAUUUUAUUAAAUUUUAAAUAAUGGAUAUGAGACUUCUAAAAGGUGCCCCAGAGUCUCUCCUGCAUUCCAGGAACACUCCCCACUACACUCAUUGUGUAGCAGCAAUCAAAUGUUUCCUUCAUAUUCAAGAAAAAUCAUGCAAACAGUAGAGAAAUCCUUUUUUGCUUAUUGGUUAAGUAGCAUGAAGUUCUCAAAGUGAACAGGUAGCAGUCUUGGCAUCUGGUUCAAUGGAAUCAUUUUUGUGUUCCUUGUAGGAAGAAUUACCUCCAUCUAUCUGUCUAUCUAUCUAUCUAUCUAUCUAUCCAUCUCUGUUUCUCUCUCUUUCUUUUUUUAGGAACAAAGACCAGCAAACCUUAAAUUGUGAGGAUGGGAAGCAAAAUUUUUGUUAGUGAACCAUUAAGAAGAAUAGUGAGAAAUGCUACCUCCUUUUCCACGUUUUGAUUCCCAGACUCAAAAUCCUGGCUAUUGGGGAAAAAAGCAUCAUAGAUAUAACAGCAGUUUAAAGCACAUGCUGCACUCUGGAGAACAUGAUCCGAGCCCCAGAAAGUGUUGGCUUAACUGGUGGCAAAAUGAAGCCUUCAACAAACCUGUAAAGUUUUCAACAAAGUCAUGUGCUUUAGGAUGAUGGGGAAUGUUGUAAGACUAAAGAGUUUUUAAGCAUAAGCAAAUUGUCACGUUUCCUUUGCUGUAAAAUGAGCCACUUGGUUUGAAGCAAUGUUAUGUGACAGAAUAUGAUGAUGAAUAAAGAAUUCUAUAAAUCCAAAGACAGUAGUUUUGACAAAAGAAUUUUGGUCAAAAAUGAUAAAUCCAUAUUGAGAGUAACUCAUAUUCUAGUAAGAAUAAAGUACUGAUUCUUCCAGAUGAAUGAAAUCAAAUGUAAUCAAUUUGUGAGAUGCUGGCUGGACCCUCAGGGAACGUGCCAUGUAUGUCUGAUGAUUGUAUUCACUCUUGGCACAUUUGGCGCUGGAGAGUGGCUGUGGCCACAUCAGCCUUGGACUCUUCUUUGUUUGGUCAAGAGACUCCUCCGUGGGCACCAGACCACUCCACAAAUAGUUUCUGACGGUUAAAGCACUGAAUCAGCUUGUUGAGACAACAUGGAUGUGGCCACAUAUUAGAAGAACCACAUAAAACUCAAGGGCACUCUUAAUUAUCCAUUACAAUUGUUGAAGUUAAAAGCCACUGAAUGUCUUAGAUUUUCUAGCUUCUAUUUUAAAAUGCCUUUGUGAGAAAAUAUUUCGGAAUGGAAGUAAAACUGAAGAAGAACUCCUGCUUUUCAAGAUGGCAUUUGUGGCACACUGUGACUUCUUACUAGUUAUGAAGCUGGAAAAAAACCUAUGAACAAUAUAUUUUUUUGAGACCCAGUGUUUAACUUCCAGGGACCAGACACAGAGACGGUUAUAAAAUCCAGCUCAGUCAGAAGGCAAUGCUGAACCCCCCUGCAGAGACAGUUGCAUGCAACAAAGAAAACAGUAGUUCUGGAACAGGAUAUAACAGCAUUUCCGCAGUAUUGAAAAAAACAACAAGAAUCAUGUCAGAAGAUGAGGGUUAUGUGGACCAAUUAAUUUAAGGGGUGCAGCAUCAUGACUGUCCUCCUUUCCUACAGCUACAUCAUAAUUACCAUCCUUAGAAUGAACUCAGCUGAGGGGAGAUGCAAAGCCUUCUCUACGUGAGCCUCCCACUUAACUGCUGUUGCUAUAUUUUACGGCACACUCCUGUUCAUGUAUUUCCGACCCAGCUCCAGUUACUCCAUGGACACAGACAAAAUGGCCUCUGUUUUCUACACAGUUGUGAUCCCAAUGUUAAACCCACUGAUCUAUAGCUUAAGGAAUAAGGAUGUGAAAGGUGCCCUGAAAAAAGCAAUUGACACUAUGUUUUGCUCUGUGUGAAACCAUGUUUUCACCCAAAUGUAUUUGUUUAAUAAUUCUGAAAGCUAAAGUUCAGGUACUUUGACAUAGAUUCCUGUAGUGCACCAAUGCAUCUUUUAGAUAUUUCCCGCUACUUGUUUUUGUGCUUAAAUUAACGGUAGGGAGCAGUCAUUUCUGAUCUGAAUCUUCUCUCCAGGCUAAGGAAGAGUAGUAAUAGUUUCAUUAUCCUGUUUUUCAAAGAUGAUCUUCUUAUACUUCUCUUCUCUGCUCAAGAGUAUGACUUUGUGAGAUAUCAUGGGCAGAGAAACUUCUCCCCACAUGUCAAUUCAACUUGCCCUCCUAAGUUUCCAUUUUUAUUAAACAGGGAGUUUAGUAAAUUUGCUCAUCCAGAAUGGAGGGUUAGAGGGUUAAAAUACUUUUGUUUAUAUCUUUCCAAAGUACUUAUAUCAUUCUGUAAAUAUUCCUUCCUAACGCUUAGAUGUAUGAAAGUAGUCCAUAAAUAAAAAAGGAUAAAAAAAAUCUCCUGUCCUAAGUCAAAUUUUCAUAAAUGCAAGGCUCUGUCUUCUCUUGUUCGCCAAUAUUUCUACUUUGCCAUUUGCAAUGCUUUGCUCCAGGAAGUCAUUCAAAAACAUCUCUUGAAUAAUGAAUGAAAGUCCUCUGUAAGAUUGAUGCAAAAAGGAGCCUUUGUAAAUUCACAAAUUAAAAGAGCUCCCUUUAUUUAUUUAUUCUUAUUCUCAUAGGCUCAUCUUAGGCAAAAUCUGUAUGUGUUUCUCGUCUUUUGGCCUAACCUGAACAAGUAUCAGAGACAGGGAUCAUUUGACGUAGAGAACUUCUUGGAUUCUCUCUUCCUCAUCAUUCUGUCUCGAUUAUUAUUAUUAGCAGACAUCCCCAGGAUCAGCAGCUGUAGAUUCAUAUUGCAACUCAUGGACUUUACAUCAGGUUGUGGAUUUCCCUUCUUGCCCUCACUCUAGAGAACAGAUGCGGUGCUAUUGACAACUGUACGGAAACUGCAUGAAUGGAAUUUGGGGGUAAAGGAUUUGGACCUUCUCAAAGGCCACUGGAAAAGAGAACUCUAUCUCCCCUGAUGUGUUCAUAGCAUUAUACUGGUUCAAAUAAAAAGUUUUAGAAAACCUGAAAGGCCAAAUUGAUACAGUUUAAGUUGUAAAGUAAUAGUGAUUAACAAAAAUAUAUGUUCAAUGGAAAAAAAGAAAAAUAAGUAGUAUUUAAUUUAAUAUUCCAUAUGUAAUGACUUAUAUUGGCUCUCUGUGCCUCUGUGAAAUAAACUGAAAGUGUAAUCUAAACACA